rnacentral:misc_RNA from 1 species
GGAGGGAUCAUUAACACGUAUCCAAACGUUUACCCCCCAAUUGCGAUAUUAGUCCUACGUGAAAGGUCGUCUGGCGGUAUAGGUGUAAAGGACUGUAUAGAAUCAGCCUCCGUCAGGCGUGUACGUUGUGCAGUAAGCGCUCCCGACAGAUCGUAGCGUAACCAAAAGCACCGGUUGCUAGGGCACCAUUGGCGUGGUCAUUAGGGCACCAUUCCUUAACAGUAUCUAAUCCUUUGGGUUCUAGUAGCCUUAUUAACAAAAACCACUAAAACUCAAUUACUGAACGGGCUUGUGACCGAAAGGUGCAGGCUACUACGAAAAACGAACAACUCUUAGCAACGGAUAUCUUGGUUCUCGUACCGAUGAAGAACGCAGCGAAAUGCGAUACGUAAUGCGAAUUGCAGAAUUCAGUGAAUCAUCAAAUCUUUGAACGCAAAUUGCGCUCUCGGGAUAAACCUGGGAGCAUGCCUCUCUGAGUAUCGGUUCUACUAAUCUUGACUGCGACUGUUUUGACUUCGGUCAUUUCAAAGUCGUUUGUCAGUAAAUGAAUGUCUCGGCGUCCUGAAUCUUCAGCCGAGUCAUUUGAAAUGUAUGUGAAGCUUCAGAACUCCCAGUUCAACCACUUUUUUAAGUGGUACAACCUGUUCGUUCAUGGGUAUACGCUUUCGAGUGCAUCUCAAGGUGACUAGGUAUCUGGUGAGACGUGAUAAUAUGCCCUCGGGUAUACAAACGUUUUACUGGUGUCUUGGUCAAAUUUGGGUGUAUGUCAUCGAUUCAGAAAGGUGUAUACAUACAUGUGCGGGCGUUAAGGGUAUUCGUGACUGGUUGAGGACAAGGCUUCUAUAAAUAAAGGAAACUGAAACAAUUGAAAUAGAUCUCAGAUGAAGCAAGAAGACCCCCUGAAUUUAAGCAUAUUAUUAAGGGGAGGAAAAGAAACUAACAAGGAUUCCCCUAGUAACGGCGAGUGAAGCGGGAAGAGCUCAAACUGAAAAUCGGGAACCCAUGCGGGUUCUCGAAUUGUAGCCUAGAGACGUACUAUCAGCACGUGACCCAGGUAUAAAUCCUUUGAAACAGGGUAUCAUAGAGGGUGAGAAUCCCGUCUUUGACCUGGAGAUCGCCGCGUACGAUGUGCGUUCGUCGAGUCGAGUUGUUUGGGAUUGCAGCUCUAAAUGGGUGGUAAGUUUCAUCUAAAGCUAAAUAUUGACGAGAGACCGAUAGCGAACAAGUACCGUGAGGGAAAGAUGAAAAGAACUUUGAAAAGAGAGUUAAAAAGUACUUGAAAUUGUUAAGAGGGAAGCGCUGGAAACCAGUCAUUUUUCUCAGCUAUAUUACUUGUCUGCUGUCUAACAUGGUUGCGGACUGGAGGGUAACCCUAGUCGGACUUUGAAGGAACAGUGGAUCGGCUUCGUAGUUGGGAGAGUGUCAGAAUCAAUUCGAUUCGCGGUUGAAGGCUGCGAGGAAGGUAGGGUCUCCGGACCUGUUAUAGCCUUGCAGUUGUACCGUAGGUUGGAUUGAGGAUGUUUAAUGUGCGCCGCAAGGUUUCGGUACUUCUUGUCUAUGGGGUCAGUUGCUUUGUAGAACAAUGUUCUGCGGGUGAUGAAGCUCUAUACUAUGGGAUACUACCAGAUGCACAUUCGCGAUUCUGACGAAAUGGUUUUCAUCGACCCGUCUUGAAACACGGACCAAGGAGUCUAACAUGUAUGCGAGUAUUUGGGUGGAAAACCCUGAUGCGUAAUGAAAGUGAAGGCAGUUUCGGCUGCUGAGGUAGGAAUCCCUGUCAUGGGGACGCACUAUCGACCGAUCGUCACUUGUGAUAGAUUUGAGUAAGAGCAUAUCUGUUGGGACCCGAAAGAUGGUGAUCUAUGCCUGAACAGGGUGAAGCCAGGGGAAACUCUGGUGGAGGCUCGUAGCGAUACUGACGUGCAAAUCGUUCGUCUGAUUUGGGUAUAGGGGCGAAAGACUAAUCGAACCAUCUAGUAGCUGGUUCCCUC